AUAAUUUCCUUUAUAACAAAGCGAAGUUUUCUGUAACAGAAACCGAAAGCGUCCUACUGCAAUAUAAAUAUAAAUACUGGAACCUUUCCUUAAGUAAAACAUCUGCGGGACAUUGCUGCACUGUUUUGGAAACUAUUUGUUACUACAGCUAACUAAUCAAGGCAAGCACCUAAUAUAGAUUUCACACAAUUGAACAUCAUUCUUGGGCGUACCCGAAUGAAAGAUAAACAAACAUUUCCUCUAUCGAAAAAAGUUUUCUGGAACAGAAACUGAAAGCAUCUUACGGCAGACGUGUGUAUAUAUAUAGAUAAACCUUUCCAGAAGUUAAACAUCUGCGGGACGUUGCUGCACUGGCCCUUCCCUGUUCAUCUUCCAUUUUGAUUUCCAAACUACUGGCUGGUUACUAGGUGAAAUGGCUUAUUUGAACUAUGGAGAUGCUAAUUACGUGGAGGAAUUUUGGAGAGAAGAGCGCUUGCAAACUUUUGAAGAAAUUAUUCUUCAGAGUAAUGUCCAACCACGUGACAGGAAGAUUUAUGUCAUGUACCACGGCACAACUGUUGCGGCAGCUAUACAAAUCAUACAAAAAGGAUUUAAACAAUCAGAAGAUGGCAUGUUAGGAAGAGGGGUCUAUGUUAGCCGAAAUAAAGACAAAGCAGCACGGUAUCCUCUUGGGAAUAAGUCUGAUCAGGUUAUUUUAAAACUCAGAGUAAAUGUAGGUAAGGUUAUAGCAAUUAACUACCAGGGACAUCUCUUACAGAAAACAUGGCGCAAUAAUGGCUAUGAUACCGCCUGGGUGCCUGAAGCUUGUGGUAUGGUUUCAAGCCAGUUGGAGGAAGAUUGCAUUUGGGAUCCCAAGAGGAUUAAGGUAGUUGGGAUUGCUAAUGCACCUCCACAUUAUAUAGCAUACCUACAACAACUAGUUCAGGCCUAUAGAAAAUAAAACAACCAACACACACAUUGUUUAAAAAGAGAUUGAACAUGUGCCUAUUUUUAACUGCAAUUUUCUCUUCUGUAUCACAAGUCAUUUUAUUAAUUACUACCUACAUUUUCAUUAAAGAUUGAUGGGAAGUAUGAGCUAAAUGGA